AUUGAACGCUGGCGGCAUGCCUUACACAUGCAAGUCGAACGGCAGCGGACCUUCGGGUGCCGGCGAGUGGCGAACGGGUGAGUAAUAUAUCGGAACGUACCUUUCAGUGGGGGAUAACGUAGCGAAAGUUACGCUAAUACCGCAUAUUCUGUGAGCAGGAAAGCAGGGGAUCGCAAGACCUUGCGCUGAUUGAGCGGCCGAUAUCAGAUUAGCUAGUUGGUGAGGUAAAGGCUCACCAAGGCGACGAUCUGUAGCGGGUCUGAGAGGAUGAUCCGCCACACUGGAACUGAGACACGGUCCAGACUCCUACGGGAGGCAGCAGUGGGGAAUUUUGGACAAUGGGGGCAACCCUGAUCCAGCCAUUCCGCGUGAGUGAAGAAGGCC
rnacentral:rRNA from 1 species